GCCGGGAUGGUGGAAUGGUAGACACGCAAGCAUGAGGGGCUUGUGGCGCAAGCUGUAGGGGUUCAAGUCCCCUUCCCGGCA
rnacentral:tRNA from 1 species